rnacentral:rRNA from 1 species
UACGAAGGGGGCUAGCGUUGCUCGGAAUCACUGGGCGUAAAGCGCACGUAGGCGGAUCUUUAAGUCAGGGGUGAAAUCCCAAGGCUCAACCUUGGAACUGCCUUUGAUACUGGGGAUCUCGAGUCCGGAAGAGGUGAGUGGAACUGCGAGUGUAGAGGUGAAAUUCGUAGAUAUUCGCAAGAACACCAGUGGCGAAGGCGGCUCACUGGUCCGGUACUGACGCUGAGGUGCGAAAGCGUGGGUAGCGAACGGG